UACGUAGGGUGCAAGCGUUGUCCGGAAUUAUUGGGCGUAAAGAGCUCGUAGGCGGUUCGUCGCGUCGGCUGUGAAAUCCCGAGGCUCAACCUCGGGUCUGCAUUCGAUACGGGCAGACUAGAGUUCGGUAGGGGAGUCUGGAAUUCCUGGUGUAGCGGUGAAAUGCGCAGAUAUCAGGAGGAACACCGGUGGCGAAGGCGGGACUCUGGGCCGAUACUGACGCUGAGGAGCGAAAGCGUGGGGAGCAAACAGG
rnacentral:rRNA from 1 species